rnacentral:lncRNA from 1 species
GAAGAAUCAAGGACAGGUUGGAUUGGAGAAUGAGUGCAAGGUUUUACUGAGUGGAAGUAGCUCUCAGCAGAUAGGAGAGCCAGAAGGAAGAUGGAGUGGGAAGGCGGUUUUCUCCUGGAGUGGGGCUGCUCAGCGGCCUGGGCUCUCCUCCAACCGCCCUGGCCAAACUCACCGUGGUCCUACUGGAGGAUGGUCUGCCGGAGGAUGGCCUGCCGGAGGAUGGCCUGCCGGAGGAUGGCCUGCCGCAGGAUGGCCUGCCGGAGGAUGGCCUGCCGCAGUCUUCAGAAUGAAACAUCUUGGCCAGGCACAGUGGCUCAUGCCUGUAAUCCCAGCACUUUGGGAGGCCAAGGCAGGCGGAUCACCUGAGGUCGGGAAUUCAAGAUCAGCCUGACCAACAUGGAGAAACCCCGUCUCUACUAAACAUACAAAAAUUAGCCAGUCGUGGUGGUGCAUGCCUGUAUUCCCAGCUACUUGGGAGGCUGAGACAGGAGAAUCGCUUGAACCUGGGAGGCGGAGGUUGCAGUGAGCCAAGAUGACACCAUUGCACUCCAGUUGGGACAACAAGAAUGAAACUCCGUCUCAGAAAAAAAAAAAAAGAAUUUAAAUAGGCAUUUUAUUAAAAUUAUUUAACUGCGUUUUAUUAAAAUAUGCUU